UGGGGAAUAUUGGACAAUGGGCGCAAGCCUGAUCCAGCCAUGCCGCGUGAGUGAUGAAGGCCCUAGGGUUGUAAAGCUCUUUCACCGGUGAAGAUAAUGACGGUAACCGGAGAAGAAGCCCCGGCUAACUUCGUGCCAGCAGCCGCGGUAAUACGAAGGGGGCUAGCGUUGUUCGGAUUUACUGGGCGUAAAGCGCACGUAGGCGGACUUUUAAGUCAGGGGUGAAAUCCCGGGGCUCAACCCCGGAACUGCCUUUGAUACUGGAAGUCUUGAGUAUGGUAGAGGUAGGUGGAAUUCCGAGUGUAGAGGUGAAAUUCGUAGAUAUUCGGAGGAACACCAGUGGCGAAGGCGGCUCACUGGACCAUUACUGACGCUGAGGUGCGAAAGCGUGGGGAGCAAACAGG
rnacentral:rRNA from 1 species